GACAGAGGGGGCAAGCGUUGCUCGGAAUCACUGGGCGUAAAGGGCGCGUAGGCGGGAUGGCAAGUCGGUCGUGAAAUCCUUCGGCUCAACCGAAGAACGUCGGCCGAUACUGCCGUUCUUGAGGGAUGCAGAGGAGAUUGGAAUUCCCGGUGUAGCGGUGAAAUGUGUAGAGAUCGGGAGGAACACCGGUGGCGAAGGCGGUUUCCUGGCCGAGUACUGACGCUGAGGCACGAAAGCGUGGGGAGCGAACGGG
rnacentral:rRNA from 1 species